rnacentral:lncRNA from 1 species
AGUAAUUCGAGUUACAAGAUCCAUUAUGGAACGAAUUAAACUUGUAAGUUGAGGUACCACUAUAUUUCUGACGGUCUUAGGAACUGAGACACUGCUCCUCUCUCCAUCUCCAGGUGGAUUUGCCCACAUGCAUAUAUGCCCACAUAUGAGUGCCCGGCAUGAUGACAUCAUCGUGCCCACUCCAUCACAUAUACCCUGUACAAAUACAGGUGUAUGUGAUGGUUGGUGCCAUAAUGUACUUAUGUGGACCAAUCACACAUGUAGAGAGCAGAUACUUGUAGAAAGCAGCUGCUGUGUUGAAAGCAGCAGUAUUGGAGGUAACAGGACACUUCAUGAAUUAUAAUUAUUGGAUAACAACUUUCAAGUAAACUGCUAAACCCUGUUAACUAUUAAUGUGAAAGAAUGGCGCUCAUGUGCAGUUUUGGG